rnacentral:lncRNA from 1 species
CAACAACAGUCAUUUAUUAAACAUCAAAUGACUUGAGUUGGGCUUUUGUUGUUGUUUUAAGUGGUUAAGAACCUGAAUGUAAAUGGUUCCUUGGAAUCUUGGGAUAUUCCAGUAUUUCUCAUGGUGCAAAUGCGCCUGAUAUAAUAGAUGAUUGUGUGAUAACACACCAAGACACAGUUAAACAGGUUUUGUUUUUAGUGUCUAUUAUUAAAGAAUAAGGUUAAACUAAAACGUAAGAUUUCUUGAUUACUAUUUUGAAUAAAUUUUUAGUUUGAGGUUUUUAUUUUAAGUGAGUUUUUUUAAUGAGUAAGGAUACAGCUUGUAUUUAGGUCUGGCAGAAGACAUGAAAUAUUAAUUAC